UUGAUCUCAAAUCAGGUAGGACUACCCGCUGAACUUAAGCAUAUCAAUAAGCGGAGGAAAAGAAACUAACAAGGAUUCCCCUAGUAACUGCGAGUGAAGCGGGAAGAGCUCAAAUUUAAAAUCUGGCGUGCCUCCGGCCGUCCGAGUUGUAGUCUGGAGAAGCGUUUUCCGUGUUGGACCGUGUAUAAGUCUCUUGGAACAGGGCGUCAUAGAGGGUGAGAAUCCCGUCUUUGACACGGACUACCAAUGCUUUGUGAUGCGCUCUCAAAGAGUCGAGUUGUUUGGGAAUGCAGCUCAAAAUGGGUGGUAAAUUCCAUCUAAAGCUAAAUAUAGGCGAGAGACCGAUAGCGAACAAGUACCGUGAGGGAAAGAUGAAAAGCACUUUGGAAAGAGAGUUAAACAGUACGUGAAAUUGCUGAAAGGGA
rnacentral:rRNA from 1 species